rnacentral:rRNA from 1 species
AUUCUGGCUCAGGAUGAACGCUGGCGGCGUGCUUAACACAUGCAAGUCGAACGGGAUCCACCGGGCUUUGCUUGGUGGUGAGAGUGGCGAACGGGUGAGUAAUGCGUGACCGACCUGCCCCAUACACCGGAAUAGCUCCUGGAAACGGGUGGUAAUGCCGGAUGCUCCAGUUGAUCGCAUGGUCUUCUGGGAAAGCUUUCGCGGUAUGGGAUGGGGUCGCGUCCUAUCAGCUUGACGGCGGGGUAACGGCCCACCGUGGCUUCGACGGGUAGCCGGCCUGAGAGGGCGACCGGCCACAUUGGGACUGAGAUACGGCCCAGACUCCUACGGGAGGCAGCAGUGGGGAAUAUUGCACAAUGGGCGCAAGCCUGAUGCAGCGACGCCGCGUGAGGGAUGGAGGCCUUCGGGUUGUAAACCUCUUUUAUCGGGGAGCAAGCGAGAGUGAGUUUACCCGUUGAAUAAGCACCGGCUAACUACGUGCCAGCAGCCGCGGUAAUACGUAGGGUGCAAGCGUUAUCCGGAAUUAUUGGGCGUAAAGGGCUCGUAGGCGGUUCGUCGCGUCCGGUGUGAAAGUCCAUCGCUUAACGGUGGAUCCGCGCCGGGUACGGGCGGGCUUGAGUGCGGUAGGGGAGACUGGAAUUCCCGGUGUAACGGUGGAAUGUGUAGAUAUCGGGAAGAACACCAAUGGCGAAGGCAGGUCUCUGGGCCGUUACUGACGCUGAGGAGCGAAAGCGUGGGGAGCGAACAGGAUUAGAAAGCGGCGGAGCAUGCGGAUUAAUUCGAUGCAACGCGAAGAACCUUACCUGGGCUUGACAUGUUCCCGACGGUCGUAGAGAUGCGGCUUCCCUUCGGGGCGGGUUCACAGGUGGUGCAUGGUCGUCGUCAGCUCGUGUCGUGAGAUGUUGGGUUAAGUCCCGCAACGAGCGCAACCCUCGCCCCGUGUUGCCAGCGGAUUAUGCCGGGAACUCACGGGGGACCGCCGGGGUUAACUCGGAGGAAGGUGGGGAUGACGUCAGAUCAUCAUGCCCCUUACGUCCAGGGCUUCACGCAUGCUACAAUGGCCGGUACAACGGGAUGCGACGCGGCGACGCGGAGCGGAUCCCUGAAAACCGGUCUCAGUUCGGAUCGCAGUCUGCAACUCGACUGCGUGAAGGCGGAGUCGCUAGUAAUCGCGAAUCAGCAACGUCGCGGUGAAUGCGUUCCCGGGCCUUGUACACACCGCCCGUCAAGUCAUGAAAGUGGGCAGCACCCGAAGCCGGUGGCCUAACCCCUUGUGGGAUGGAGCCGUCUAAGGUGAGGCUCGUGAUUGGGACUAAGUCGUAACAAGGUAGCCGUACCGGAAGGUGCGGCUG